GUGAACGCCCUCACGGGCUUAUAACUAUUCCAAACCUCUGUGAACCGUGCCCUUCGGGGCUAUUUUACAAACAUGGUGUAAUGAACGUCAUAUGUCAUAACAAAACA
rnacentral:misc_RNA from 1 species